CGAUUUCGGAGGCUCGGCCACCUCUCUAGAGAUUCCGGCGGCGUCGCUGCUGCUGAAGGCCGGCGGAGCUGUAUGGCCAUCCUUCUAUUUCUCCUCCCAAUUUCCGCCCCCAAUCGACUGAAAAGGAAAGAAAAGAAAGUCCUAAUUUUCCUCCUGAAUCGAAAUCGCCGCCGCCUGAAUCCGGAAGCCGAAGAACGGCCGGCGUCUUCUCCCGCGACGCCGCUUCUGUUCUGAAAUCCGGCGAUGAUUGUCGCCCCAUGGCUCUGCUUCCUCUUUUCUCCACCCAAGGCAGACGUACACAUGUUCAAUCGAGGUUUGGAAUCGGAGCCCUAACUCCUGCCUGACGAAUCGACAUGGUAACCUCCGCUGCCGCUCUGUGAACUGGCGAGAGCCUCACCGUCGUCGUCGUCGUCGGAUUCUCCCCUGAUCUCGCCCGACGAGCAGCAGAGCUCUGCCUCCGCCGACGCUCUUCGGUUCGGCGGAACAGGGCAGCCUCCCCUCCUUAAUGAAAGCUAAGUUCAUUCUUAAUACUCUAUUGUGAACGAAACUCAAAGCUUGUUGUAAACUCAGUUCAUGAUUCUAUUGAGCUCUAGUAUUUCUAUAAUUCGAUUAUGCAGUGGGUAAAACUAGCCAUAGUAGUUUGUUUCUAUUUCGAAAGUCCUCACUGUCUGUCUAUUUCGAAUAACACAUAAAAACUGACUAUGUUAUUACCGGAAACUAUGUAUUGGUAUUGUUUGUUUAUCAUGCUUAAGUGUAGAGCAUGUAUGAUGGGAAAAUAGUAUAUGGAGCUCAAUGAAUACCUUGAAUGCUUUGCGAAUGUUUGGCGCAUGGUUGGCUGCUGCUGUUGUUGAAUCCAGAGGAUAGGAACUGAAAUGAAUGUGGAUUGUUUUCAUACUGAAUGCAGGCUGAAAUUCAAGAAGGAAGUGGAGGAAUUAGAGCCAAGGUUUACCUUGGAGUUUUGGCAGAAGUCUCAUCCCUUCUCUCUUUCUUCAAAUUCUGUUGCACUAAGGGAGCUUGAAAAACUUGAUGGCUGGGUUGUAUAAAGGUGGAUGUUGGCUGAUAGCUUUGAGGCUGCAGUGGGUUGAUAGGAUGUGGCAGUCAUAGGGGUCGCUGAAAGACCCCUAGAUGUACCUUGGCAUGGCCGAACUGCUGCUACAGAGGGAAGGGGAGGGUGAGCUGCUGUUACAGCUAUUCUGCACUCCCUCACGCCCCUUUUCUUUCUUCUUCUUCU
rnacentral:lncRNA from 1 species